UCUCCGUUGGUGAACCAGCGGAGGGAUCAUUACAGAGUUCCACAACUUCCCACCCCUGCGAACCGUACCCCACUUUGUUCUCGUUGCCUCCUGGCCGCGGGCCCCCGGCGCCACCGCCAACGCGCCCGCCGGCGGCGGCAUGCCCCCCGUGCCUUUUUUUCUCGACCACCCCGUCUAAACAAUACAACAAAUUCAAAAAAACUUUCAACAACUGAUCUCUUUCUUCUAUCAUCGAUGAAGAACGCAGAAGAGCAGAAGACAACACUGCUGACCUCCAAC
rnacentral:misc_RNA from 1 species